GAGAAAGCAUGUAUGUAAUUUUUAAUUUAUCUGGGAAAUUUCGUAUUUGUAUAGCGUCAAAUUUUCUUUGAGUAAAAGAUUCGUAAAGUGGUUUUUAAAAUGAAAAGGUCAGCGUCAACGUAUUUCUCUCUCUCUCUCUCUCUCUUAGACAAUCGAAUGAGAUGAAUAUUUUCAUGUAUUUAUAUGUAUGAGGCAAUUCAUAAGUGGUAUUUUUCUUUAAAAGAAUGAUUUGGAUAUUAACAGUGAGUAAUUUGUAGGAAACACAUCUUUAUUUCCGCUUUAAAUUUUUUAAAAUCAGAUUUAUAUAGAUUUAAUUUAGAAAAGUUGACAAAGUGUUUCCUGUUUUCUUUGUAAUUUUAUUGUCAAAACUCAUAAGAAGAUUUAUUCUUUAUUUGUUUUCCGUGUUGUAUUAAUAAGUAAGAACAUUUGUUGCCCAGAACGUUGAUACACGUAAGGAAUAAGGAAUCAUUGUAUGAUUUUUAUGAGGGAGAUUAUAAGGGUCGGACACGUGAUCAAAUGUAAGAUAGAUUUUAUAGUAAUAACCUCCUCAUAAAUGUCAAAGAAUGAUUCCUUAUUACUUAUAAUUACAAUAUUUUUCAAAUAAAGUGAGAACCUU
rnacentral:misc_RNA from 1 species